rnacentral:rRNA from 1 species
ACGGGUGAGUAACACGUGGGUGAUCUGCCCUGCACUUCGGGAUAAGCCUGGGAAACUGGGUCUAAUACCGGAUAUGACCUCCUAUCGCAUGGUGGGUGGUGGAAAGAUUUAUCGGUGCAGGAUGGGCCCGCGGCCUAUCAGCUUGUUGGUGGGGUAAUGGCCUACCAAGGCGACGACGGGUAGCCGACCUGAGAGGGUGACCGGCCACACUGGGACUGAGACACGGCCCAGACUCCUACGGGAGGCAGCAGUGGGGAAUAUUGCACAAUGGGCGAAAGCCUGAUGCAGCGACGCCGCGUGAGGGAUGACGGCCUUCGGGUAGUAAACCUCUUUCAGCAGGGACGAAGCGCAAGUGACGGUACCUGCAGAAGAAGCACCGGCUAACUACGUGCCAGCAGCCGCGGUAAUACGUAGGGUGCAAGCGUUGUCCGGAAUUACUGGGCGUAAAGAGUUCGUAGGCGGUUUGUCGCGUCGUUUGUGAAAACCAGCAGCUCAACUGCUGGCUUGCAGGCGAUACGGGCAGACUUGAGUACUGCAGGGGAGACUGGAAUUCCUGGUGUAGCGGUGAAAUGCGCAGA